rnacentral:lncRNA from 1 species
GCCCCAUCAGAUGGGCCGACGUUCAGCUGAUAGCUAUCUGGCAGACAGCAAGGCCCAGCAGGAGAGGGUGGUGGGGCUCGGAGCUCUGACCUGAGGUGCCCCACUGGAAGUCACUGCUCGGAUGCACGGGGCUGGACGCCCAGCACGCGCCCUGCCCGGCAGCCUCAUGCGCCCUCGUGGUUUUAUCUGGGGUUACAUCUCGCCCCGUCUGUGGCCUGGCUCUCGCCCCAUGCCCACGGCGCAGCCUCUCACCCUGGAGAUGAAGAUGUGUGAGAGGGCCCAGCUCAUGGGGUGAGGCAGACACCUGCGAAUGGGAUUCACGGAAGCCAGCAGGACGAUCAGGCGCUGCCUAAAAUAGCUGGUAGGAAAUGCUGAGGAGAGGGGGUGGAUCUGGCAUGAAACUUGUUCAUGAGCUCAGCCCUUGAGCUAGACCAGCCCUUUCUUGCAUAAAACGGUGGUGUUUGUCUCCACAUGAAGCACUCUCUCCAGGAACAAAUACAUGCUUCAAACCCCCCGACAGCACCAAUGGUUUUAUUUUUCCCAGGUAGUCCUCUUCUGACUCGAGCACUUGUAAAGGUUGGAUUUCUUCAGGAUCUCUCACUGAAGCUGCGUUACUUACUCUGGAUCCCAUAUACCCCUGGAAUGAGGCAUGGAUGCUCCCUUGUCCCUGGUGGAUCCGCUGAGCAUGUUUAUAGCUGGAGAGUCCCAGUCUCGUCGUGCUCUUUCUGAGGUGGAAGAUGUUUCAAAUCUGGCCUCACAGAGCACAAAGCAUUUAGCUCCACUGAGCACAGGAUCUGGCAAAGCAGGCUGUCAAGGUAGGCAGGCAGAACAGUGCUCCUGAACGUCCAGUGGGUGACUGAGGUGCAGUGUGUUUGAGGACACUUAUACUUCCUCCCCCUUUUCUGGCAGCUUUAAAGUGAGAUGAAGAACCAGCUGAGGUGUAAGGAUCAUGGACGUCCUUGGUGCACACUAAGAGGACGCUACAUGGUUAGUGGCUGCAGCAGGCAAGUCAGUCAUUACAACUAACUGGUGGUAAUGGCAGGAGUGCAGCAUGGAAAUGUGAAUUUGUCUGAAAUGCACAGCCAUAAACUACAAAUUAUGGAAAAAAAAUCCUGUUGUGUGUGACAUGUUUCCUGAAAAAAUUAACAUAGUUUAUUUGUACAUCAGUAUAUUUAAGAUGUCAUGUGUUUGACUUUCUCCUCUCAUUUACAGUAGAUUAAAUCUCAAAUAUCCAUUAAAGUUGAAGUCAUAGCACCAGUGUGAAACUGCAGUGAACUUAAGGUAUCUCAGGUGGUUUAGCAGUGGAAAAGUGUGGAUGACUGCAAGCUGCAACAUGAAGUUGCAAUCUUUUCAGCUUUGUCCUCUAAUGAUUUGGAGUGAUUCAUUCAUCUUGUUGGCUCAGUCCCUGGUUUAUUCUGAAGGAAGUGCAUGCCAAAACAGAUGGUCAUGUGAACAUCUGCCUACUUUCCAACACUGACUGCCACAUUUUUCUAGUAAGUCAGAAACCAAAGCAAGCUUAAUCCAGUUCUGACUUUGAUACCUGCACUAGUUAUCUGUG